rnacentral:misc_RNA from 1 species
AGUCCACACUGGAGGAAGCUAAAGCAUUACUGACUGAGCUAGAGUACCAAGAAGGAAGCCCAGAGAUGGACACAAACGAUGAAGAGGGACAAAGUACUGCACCCUCAAAAGAUGAAGUAGACGAUUCUAACAGAAAGAAGACAUGAUUUUCUGUGAAAACAUGGAGAGCAGGUGACCGCUGAUUUACACAUAGGAAAACCAACUGAAGGUUCUUCGAGUGAAAUACAAACUGAAAAGCCCUAGUUCCUUGUAUGUUGAUGAACUGAAAUUUUUGAUGCUGGCAAAAUGAAAAAAAAAAAUGUCUACAUGACUACUCAGUUGCACAUUCAAUUUCAUUUUGUGACGGAGAACUGAAGCAUUUUACUGCCAUUACUGUGUCUGCUCUUGUAGUUACUAUAAUUAUUACUUGUGUACCUAAUCAGAUUAAGAUAAGUAUUUCCAUGGUCUAGAUUUCACAUAGAAAUGACACGCGCUACGUACUACCAGGUAAUGAGAGUACAUGUGUAUUUGAAUUUCUCUUUUCUUGUGCACUAUGAAUUGAGUGUGUAAUUUACAGAUGAACUUUAUCAGUGGUUCAUUCAAUUGAUAUCCUGUAAAUCUUCCUCCUUAAUGUAUAAUCAAGGUAAAAUGGGUUUGAUAUAUUCUGAAACUCAAUAUGCAGAUAUAUGUAUUUACAAAUAGGAAUUUCUAUUGAACCCUGAUAUUCAAGAAGGUAUUGUAGGACGGUGAGUCUGUCCGGAUCCAGCUCAGGGUGUUUGUUGUGCACUUUUAUCUAUUUCAUGUACUUGUUGUCUUUUCUUUGCAUUAGAAUUCAAUGCAAAACUGUAUCGGUUAUAUAGAAACCUUGAUGUACCUGUAGUCUUAAUGAUGAAGAAAGUUUUCACGCCUUCUCUGGAUCCUAACUAUGCAAAAUGUCCAGUUUUCUUCGUUUUAAUGGCAAAUUGACUGAAUAGUAUUAAGAUCUCUUCGCAAAAAUAGUACAUGUACAACUCUUUCAAAUUACUUUAUAACUUGUGUAAUAACGAAUUUCAUAUAUGAACCUUGCUAUUUAAUUUAUGGUGUGUUAAUGUUGAUGUUAAAAUGGCCAAGGUUUUUAUUGAAAACCACAUCUGUUUAAGAUACCGGUACAAUGACAGAUGCGAAGCAAUGACAUGGCAAGCAGUUUACAUAUUUCAUUGUAUUGCAUUAUUGGUAAAAUUAGUUAGUAUCUUAAUGUUUGGACAGGAAUAUGCAUACAUCUUUUACUGAAUUUAUGUAGUAACAGGCCAGGCAAAUCUGUGUCCCUUCAACAAUGUACACUUACGACGAUACAUGUAUUAGGAUUAAAGUUUAGUAAUUAAGAAUCAUUGAUUCAACUACAUUAAAACAAAUAGUAGCUAUUUAAGGUACAAUUUCUUUAUUGUAAAGAAAUGUAAGAGUGGCCAUUCAUAUUAUGUAUUAGAAAUGAAAUUUACACCCCCCCCCUUUUUUUAAAAUGUACAUAGUACCGAUUCGAUACAAUUCUGUUUCAGAAUUUUGGAUUUAUUUCUCUAUCAGACAUGUUUAAUUAAUUUGUUGCCAAUUUGCUAUCACUAGACAUAGAUUAUAUUAGUGAGAACCUUUUAUUACCAAUUGUGUGUACACUUUUUUCAAUAUAUUUUCUUUUUCAGAUUAACCAAAUAUUAUAAAUAAUGAGGUAGUGGUAGCUGUUUGUACUUGUUAAACAAAAAGUAUUAAGAUUCAUCUCAAUUAGUUCAACAUAAUAUUUCCUUCCCCUGAAUGUUCCAGCCUAAUAGCUGGUUAUGAAGCUUGAUGAAAUGUUUAUGUUAGUGACUGUUUAAGCAGGACAAUGUGAUAUUGUCUACUUGUAUAAAAUCUGAUCUGUACAGCUGCUAUGGGUGAAGAUAAAACCUCUAUCUUGUAUUUAAAUGUGUAAGUGCUAUUCUCACUCAGAACAAAAAUGUAUGUAAAUAAGAAUGAUGUAAAUGUUGAAUUAGUUGUAUAUACUCUGUGUAUAUAAUAAUGUACAGUAAUGUUACAUUUAUAAAUAUCUAAUGCAUAAUGGU